CUUGGUCAUUUAGAGGAAGUAAAAGUCGUAACAAGGUCUCCGUUGGUGAACCAGCGGAGGGAUCAUUACCGAGUUAUACAACUCAUCAACCCUGUGAACAUACCUAAAACGUUGCUUCGGCGGGAACAGACGGCCCUGUAACAACGGGCCGCCCCCGCCAGAGGACCCCUAACUCUGUUUUUAUAAUGUUUUUCUGAGUAAACAAGCAAAUAAAUUAAAACUUUCAACAACGGAUCUCUUGGCUCUGGCAUCGAUGAAGAACGCAGCGAAAUGCGAUAAGUAAUGUGAAUUGCAGAAUUCAGUGAAUCAUCGAAUCUUUGAACGCACAUUGCGCCCGCCAGUAUUCUGGCGGGCAUGCCUGUUCGAGCGUCAUUACAACCCUCAGGCCCCCGGGCCUGGCGUUGGGGAUCGGCAGAAGCCCCCUGUGGGCACACGCCGUCCCUCAAAUACAGUGGCGGUCCCGCCGCAGCUUCCAUUGCGUAGUAGCUAACACCUCGCAACUGGAGAGCGGCGCGGCCAUGCCGUAAAACACCCAACUUCUGAAUGUUGACCUCGAAUCAAGUAGGAAUACCCGCUGAACUUAAGCAUAUCAAUAAGCGGAGGA
rnacentral:rRNA from 1 species